UUAUUCAUUUUAAUUCAAUACUUCUGCAUAUUUCUGUGAAAGUUCGGUAAGAUCUUAUAAACUAUCUAAAUGAUAUAAAUUUGGAUCAUCCCAAUCUUUUCCCCACUACACUCCUCAUUGAAUCUCACAUGGGUUUGAACUUUUGUUGGAUUCAUCGAAUUAAUAUUUGAACAAGUUAGCAACUACGUUGUUUACCUCACCAUAUUUGGUGCAUUGGGAACCAAUCAAUUUAAAACGUGCUUUGCGCGAAUUGCGCUGUUUAUUAAAAUGUGGAAAGAAGACAUAGAAAGGGGCUUUUAUCUACUGAGAUGGAAACUUCCAUUAAUCGACUUCUGGAGACCAGUACCAGGUAGGUAGCUGAAAUUUGUUUGUAAACAAGCACUUGCUAUUACUAUUAGAAAGGAGAGUUACUCACUGUAACAAAGACUUUUGACAGUCUAAUACAUGUAUAGUAUUGGUUAUAUGUCGAACGUUAGUUCCUUUCAGAGGACGUGUUAACGCAGGGUUGGUAUUACAUAGUGGAUUGGUAUAAGUACGUUGUAUGAUUGAUUAAUCCGAGUUUACUUAUACAUUUCCUGUCCAUUUCCACAACAGUUCUGUAUUACUAUUAUCUUGCAUGUACAGUGGCUGAUCUGGAAAGGUGGUGCUCCCCACUUUUGUUGAAUAUUUUUAACAAAAAUGAAAAUUAAUUUAUUAUGUGCCAUUAUCUCCUCUGGGGACGAAAAAGGUACAUUUAAAUCCCUGUGAAAAUUUUCUAGAUCCGCCUCUGAAUUCUAUAUAGUGCAAGUACAAGCGAAACAAUGGACUAAUAACUGACUUACUUCUUAGCCGUAUUGUGGAAAAAUGUAAAUAUUCUUCAUCAUAUAAUAUUAUCGCAUCUUCCAUUUCUAUUAACAGGUUCUUUUUUCAAUAGCCAUCACAAACUAAAUUAUUGAAAAAUGAAGGGAGUGGAGCUACUCAGAACUUCAAUGAGUUCAACUGAGAUUUGAUUUACAACAGUAACAUGGAUUAAGACAACAUUAUAAUAAAGGAAGACAGAAACCAAGAAAUAGACCAUUGCCAAAGAAAAUGGACAGAA